CACUUGAAUCAUCAGAAAUAGUAUUAUAUUAUUUCUUUCUCAUUUUAUUCGAGACAGUAGAGUGUAGGGGCGGCAACGGGACAGAACAGCUAAUACAACAACAAUACAUACGCACAGUUGAUCGAAAGUGAGUGUGAAUCUUGGGUUAGUGCAUCAUCAUCAUCGGUUUGUGAAUUUAUAAUAAUUUACUUAAUAUGUUUCAUACAACUGUAAUAUUAGUUGAAGAGGUGAGGACGACAUCUGGCUGUUCACUGUCUAUUGGUUACUUUCACCCCAUCAACUCCUUCGUGCAUUGCUGGAGUUAUAGUUAUGUUCGGACCGGGUUCACUUCUCCUGUUUCUUUACUAAUCCCGUUAGCCAUUUUGGAAGGAGAGAGAGAAAGAGAAAUAAAUUGUAUCUUAAUUCCUAAGAGCGAGAGAGAGAAAAAAGUGAUAAGAAUUUAAAGAGUAGGGAAUUGAAUAUGUUAAACCAAUGAGAGGAAACCUAUGUGGGAGGAGGAUCAUCGUCCCAUCAGAGAAGUCAUCAUCUCGAUACUGCAUACUACUUGCUUAACUUAUUUGUUUAUCGUCGUUGGGGGCAAUUGAUUUCUUAUUUGUCUACUAUGUUUUUUUGGGGCGUGGAGUUCUUUUUCUUUCUUGCCUUCUUGUCUUUCAAAUGUUGUUUGUAUUUCGGUGGGUCCUUACACGCAAAUACUAAAGUAAUGAAUGUGUGAUCAUAUUUUUUCUCUUUCACAAGCACCCAGAGUCACGCAACUCUUCAUUUGUUCAUAAUAAUACAAUACGCUACAUUUGUGUUGUAGCUUUAUAAGUCAUUGAUUAUAAUGUCAUUUAUAUUUUUACUUCUAUCAUUUAUAGGAAUGCGAAUGAUUUAAGGACUCGAAACGGGAAAAAUCAUGAUCCAACAUACAAAAGAUUUGCGACAAUCAAAAGAAAGAAACAUUAAAAAAGAAGACCACUAACACCGAAAAGGAUGAUUUUUGCAAUCUUGCACAGGUUUUAUUUGGUUAUGUGCAAUUCAACUAAGUUGUUGUUGAGUGUUUUUCCGAAGGAUGUCUCUUUGCUCUCAUAUUUAUUUAAUACAUACCUAUAUCAGAAGAAUCAUCUAUAAGUCGUUUGCUUUGUACUUUAUCAGGUGCUCUGUCAGCGUAUAAACUUAACAAAAAAAAUUGUAUCAUUUAUUCAUAAACUCUCCCCAUUUCAAAUUGCUACUUUCAUAAGUUUCAGGGCAUCUGCUACAGUACAUGGCUAAAGGCUUUAUACUGGUGACACCCUUUUUAUUAUUAAUAUUAUAUUACUAUUCUCAUAUUAUUUUAGUUCAUUAUUCUUUUUCUUUUUUUAUAAAUUGAAAGAAAUUGUUUAACUUUUUUUUGUAUUAAGUGUAAUACAUUGUUGUGUUAUUGCUAAGAAUAUAUACUUUUGUUGAAAUUUUA
rnacentral:lncRNA from 1 species